UGUUCCCUACGGGACGCAGCAGUGAGGAAUAUUGGUCAAUGGCCGCAGGGCUGAACCAGCCACGUCGCGUGAGGGAUGACGGUCCUAUGGAUUGUAAACCUCUUUUGUCAGGGAGCAAAGGGCGCCACGUGUGGCGUUUUGCGAGUACCUGAAGAAAAAGCAUCGGCUAACUCCGUGCCAGCAGCCGCGGUAAUACGGAGGAUGCGAGCGUUAUCCGGAUUUAUUGGGUUUAAAGGGUGCGCAGGCGGAUUUUUAAGUCAGCGGUCAAAUCGUGGGGCUCAACCCCAUCCAGCCGUUGAAACUGG
rnacentral:rRNA from 1 species